ACAGAUGGAGGGGUCCAACCGCAGGGAAAGGCUGAGUCCGGAUGCUGAACAGCUCACCACCCCCCCUCCGCCUUCCGAGGCAGGUGUCUGCUUUUCUCCGGAUUUAAUUUCUCAUUUCUCGAGGGACAAGGCCCUUUGCAGCCCGUGGGGUGAUACACUCGAGGGAAGAAAAAGGUUUUCAAUCUAUAAGGGAACAGGGGCAGCCAAACUCGGCGUCAGUUUAAAAGUAUCCUGUACCCUUCUCUCCUUCUACAUCCGUCUCCUCAAUCUCGGGUUUAGGACACUGGAGUGUGCGUGGGGUGGGGGAAGAAUAGGCUGCACGUGUAUAUCCAAACUUCCUGUCUGCAAUGGGACUUCACUGGCGAUUACUGCUCAGAGAUACAUCCCACGCUGACGUCCCGGGUCUCCGCGCCACCCCCACCCCCGCCUUAUUUUGCUGGAGAGCGACGGAGCCGAAACCUUCCCAACAGGGUUUCAGGAAUACAAUACACGAUGGGGAGAAGCAGUAUUCGAGGGUUUUCCUUCUCUGAGGUCAAAGUUUGGGGGUGUGCAGCCACCAUCUCCACUGCUUUCCUUUCCUUCUUUCAUUGGUUUCGUCGGAAGAGCCCCCAGGUUGGAGGUCCUAUUGCUGAGACUGAAUUGCCCAGAUAGUGCUCAGUGGGGAGCAGGGAGCUCGGUGGGCGGUCCCCACCAGAGCAACUCUUUACAGCUGUCCUAUGGAAGAGUGGACCACCCGUCAGUGUCUCGGCCAGGAAAAACAGGCGACAUGCAGUGAGGCAGAAGGGAGGAAUGUCCAGUCAAAACGCACCAGGAACCAUUUUGAGAAGAAACGUUUAGAAGUGGAGGGAUGCAAGUGAUCCUGGAUGUUGUAUCUGGAAAAGAAGAAGAAAAAAAAAAUAAUAAUAAGGUUUUCGUAGGUGGGAAACAACCAAAGGCCAAUUCAAGGGCACUCUUCUUUCGUAAAGAGGUUUGAUAAGAGCUUUGCCCUCUCCCCAGCGGUGCCCUGACAUUUUGGGUUCUCACAUCAUACUGGCCAUAGAUGCCCGCGCCUGCCUGAGAGACCAGUCCCGCCUCUAUCUGACCCUGUCUGGGGCAACCACAGGGCAGGGCGUCGCCAUUGGGGGCGGGGGGGGGGGUUAACCAGGUGUGUGUGUGUGUGUGUGUGUGUGUGUGUGUGUCCAUAUUUGAAAACCUGUUGCUGAUGAAGGAGGUUAGGAUUAGGGCCAACAGUACCUCCACCGCCCCCAUCCUCAGGACAAUGGUCAGUGUUGACACGCCUGCCUGUUCCCUGGGUUCCUAAGACGUGACUUGGGGGGGGGGGGUCCCAGGACUACGUAGAAAGCUGCCAUAUGCAUUUGGCUUGGAAACAACGCACAGGACUUAAAUUCCUGGGAUUAGGCUUCGGAGUUUCCUCUUGGAUAUUCCAAGUGGCCCCAGAUCUCGCACGUUUCCUCCUCCCCCCAUCCUCCCAGCCUCACCUUCCCUGGGGACAGUAAAGAACGCCAGGACCUUGCGGACAGCUGCCCUGAGCCCCUAGCGGGACGAGCCAAGCAAGAUUAAAACCUCAAGGCGGCGGAUGCUAAGUCACUCAGAAUAGAGUUUUCACGUGUCAGUGUUUCCAUUCAGUCACUUUCAGGCUUCCGGGGAAAGGGCAGGCGUGAGGGAAAGCGGGUCCACGCGGUGGUCAAUGGUGUGUUACUUGGCAGGGGAAGGGGGGGUGUCAGGGCAGCUAGCAGAUGCGGGCGGCUCCGGGGAGGGGGGGGAAGGGGCUCUGCCUGCGGGGUCCCUUUCCCACCUGGCCGUCGGAACUGGAGACUCGGUGGCGGUGGAGAGGGGGCCGGUUGAAUGGGGCGCGACCCCGGGCUGGGCGGGGCGAGGCGCUUCCCUAGGCUCCAGGCUGGGUAGUUCCCUCUCGUCGCGCCGCAGGCCGUCCCCCUGCGCGCGGCCCCACGAGCGCUCAGACUUAGCAGCUCUUUCGCGAACUCAGAGGCCCCGACGCAAUCCAAUUUCAGAGUUGAAAUGGACCUGAAAGUCAGGCCACCACUUAUCUGGGCCCAGGGGACUGUAGGGCAAGGAGGCCGGGAGGGGCGCCUUCACUGAGUCGGGUGAAGCUGGGGCUUUUGAAAGUUUGGCUAAGUUUGAAAUCCCCGUGCGCGCGCGGUCCCUCCCUCCUGCGACUCUCCGUGCUGCACGCGGGUAGAGUUUGGUAGGGAGGGCGUAGGGAUCUGGGUUAUCAAGGUGAAGCAGAAGUGAAAACAGAACUAAGGGGGUUCGUCCUGCCUUCAUGAGAAAUACAGAAAUCUCUCCUUUGGCAGAGAAACAGCUCUCCAGGCAGGUUCACAGAAUUAGAGCGUCGCAGCUGUUGUGGCCAGAACUUCAGCCCCAUACUUGGACAGAGAGAAGCCACUGCUCGCUCACCGAAACUGCCUCUCCCCUACUCCACAGCACUUUCGGUUUGAAGUGUGUUUCUCCUUUAUACGGAUCGCCUUUCUCCCCCACCCCCCUGCCCCCAGCGUGCCUUUGCUCAAAACGGUUACUCCUUUUAGAAAUUGAAAAAUCAAUACCAGUUUAGCCUCUUCGGUGAGAUGAUGCACUGUCUAACCUUACAGGGAAGGAAACGGCUGGAAGCAUGGCUCCAGCCCCUGGAGAAUUUUACAUAGAAAUUUACAAUGAAUGGUACUCAAGAGAGCUGCUGAAAUAUACUUUGGUUUAGUGGUACUACUGUAAACCCAAGACGCAUCUCUUACAUAUUCUCUGUUUGGUUAUGGUUGAGGUUUGGUUAAAGGAUUGAUCAGAAGCUUGCACCGUGGGUGUUUAUUCUUCCUGUUAUCUUGAACCAAAUUUUGGAUGGUUUCCUGUUAGUUUUCAGAUGCCAUUUGCCGCACAGACAGAUUUCAUAUGCCUACUGCAGAUUUUCUUCAAAGUUCUAGUUUAAAGAGCAUUAUGUAAGCCUCUCUCUAUUUACAUAAGAGCUUUAACUCGCAUCUCUCAGAAAACCAUUUAUUACCAACUGAAAUGCAUCCAGGGGAGCAACAUAACCGACCUGUAUCUCUAUGACACUCUCAUAAAAGGCAGUAGUUCAUUCUUCAUGAAAAAAAAAAGAAAAAAAA
rnacentral:lncRNA from 1 species